rnacentral:tRNA from 1 species
GGGGAUUUAGCUCAGCGGUAGAGCGCUUGCCUAGCGAGCACAAGGUCCUGGGUUCAGUCCCCAGCUCCG